rnacentral:rRNA from 1 species
CCCUUAGAUGUCCUGGGCUGCACGCGCGCUACACUGAUGUGUCCAGUAAGCACCUAACCUCUUCCGAAAGGAACGGGUAACCUUUGCAAAGCACAUCGUGAUGGGGAUAGAUUAUUGCAAUUAUUAGUCUUGAACGAGGAAUUCCUAGUAAGCACAAGUCAUCAGCUUGUGGUGAUUACGUCCCUGCCCUUUGUACACACCGCCCGUCGCUCCUACCGAUUGAAUGUUCCGGUGAGCUCUUCGGACUGCGCGGUCUGCAGUUUCUGCGUUCCGUGCGGAAAGUUGCGCAAACCUUAACAUUUAGAGGAAGGAGAAGUCGUAACA